UUGCUCACCUCAGCAGCACAUAUACUAAAAUUGGAAUGAUACAGAGAAGAUUAGCAUGGCCCCUGUGCAAGGAUGACAUGUAAAUUUGUGAAGCGUUCCAAAAUUAA
ensembl:snRNA U6 U6 spliceosomal RNA